AUCAGACCUCUAAUCGGAAAA
rnacentral:rRNA from 1 species